GGGCAACUGAGCACCUUGGCCCAGGUGUGUCACGUUUUAAUCAGAGAGUUUUGUAAGAAAUAUGAAUAAUUUUGGAAGAAAUAUGAAUCUAAACGUGGAUAUUUUUCUCCGCUGCUGUUUUUUGUAGAGCUAAACUCGGUCACCUGCCGCAGGUGCGUCCUCCACUCCGGGUGAAGCAUAAACACAAGCAAGAUUCAUCACUGUAAGAAGAGGCUGCACGUCCACUUCCACCAGAUGUCCAACCUGCCUGUCACUGUGAAUGUCCCUGAGGUCCCACCGCUCCGAUGCUGUCUCGGUAAGGGGGAGAAGAACCAGGCCUCAGUCACGUCGGCUCUGUGACAUCGAAGCGACCGUGACACCGCGGCAAACCGGUGGUGACGGAUGCCUUUUUGUCUUGUGCAGUCAGGGCGGAUCGUCUGGCCGGUGGACGACCGUAAUUGCGCCGACAGGUGACACAUCUGUGGAAACCAGAAGAUGACUGUUUAGAUCAUGUGACCUGCGCCUCGCCUUGCCUCUGCCAAGUACGGCUCUUACUAGAUGACACCUGAGCAGGACAAAUGACAACCAUGUGACCGUGAUGCCAGUGGAGGAACAUCAGGUGGAACAUCACCUUCAGGAGUGGCAAUGGAAGAAGUGGAAAGACAUUUUGCAAGAGUGAUGCAGGUUUGGAGGGCAGAGAAGGAGGAGGACCUAGGGCCCUGGUGUCAGGCUCAACUGUUCCAGGGUCUGGAAGUAAAGUUCAGAUCUGAAUAAUGACUUGUCAGUAUCUUGGAGUGAGUAUGUGAUCUAUGAAAUAGAUAGAUAAUAUAAAGAAAAGUCUUCACCUUCUGAUAGAGAUGCCAAAGCCUCUGACAGUGCCACAGUGUCCUUUUAUUUGACACAGAUGGACGUUUACCUGACACGUUUCCUGUUUUGUUGGGGUCAAAGGUCUGUGUGUGCGCGCGUGCGUCUGUGUGUGUGACUCCGGAUUUCCAAAGUGGAUGAUGCUGCUGGUUUGGAUUUCAGGUCUUUCCUGGUACUGGUCUGCCCUCAACUGGCUGCUUGGUGGAAGUGUUGCAGGUUGACUGAGGUACAGAGGGGAAGUUGUUGUGAAUAAUGCAAAUGGUCAAGCUGCGCGCGAUCCUGUUCAGCACGGGAUUGUGCAUGCGCGAGUCCUCUUUUUUUCCUUUGUUCUAAAUGUGUUGAGGCCAUAUUGCAUGUUAGUGUUCCCACUGUUGAAAUGUUAUGCUUUUCACGUUCAGUCACGUCCGAUUGUUUUGGUGAGUAUGGAUUUGCGUGCUCUGAAAGGUAGUGGAAAGAUGAAGGUGUGUUUUCGUAUAUAUUGUAGACACGGUGGUCUGGGCAGCGCUACGUCUUCAUCCUGUCAUGUUGGACUGAGUGGCCACUGUGGUGAGUCCCAGUUGAAAAGUGACACUUGUUCACUGCUGCAGCUAAGGGUCAUUCUGGGUUUGUGUAUGUGCAACUGGUGUGUAUUGCUGAAAGUCAGCAUCUGCCCCUGUGUGUGAGUGAACCGGUGUGCGUGUGUGUUUGUGUUUUAGAGGUCCUGUCACUCCCAUCUCUUCCACCUCCUCCUCCUCCUCCUCCUUGCAGAGUUCAAGGUCGCCGUGUGGCUAUUUCCAGCUCGUCUUGGCUUGGAUCCUUGUCGCAAAAUGACAAGGUAACGCAACUCGGGGGGUCAGCUGUGUUACAGGAACGCUUCCACGGAUCUGGAGAGAGGAAAUCAAUGCCGCCUGACAGUGUCUUGAGGAUACUCUGACCUGAGCGGACCAUGACAACCGCACACACGACUGCUGUUGUGUCUACACCAUGAGAGCAGACACUCUUAGUACAAACACAAGCUGUAAGCAACUCGAGCUCCCUCCGGCCGUCUGUCUGUCUGCAGCGGCCUCCAUCGGCUCUUUGUCGUCUUUUCUCGUCGAGGCGUGUGCCGAGGAGGUGAGCGACCACAUGCACCAUCUGCCCUGUCCCGACUGCUUCCCUUGCACGCGUCCUGAGAGGUUUGAAUGUGCAGCGUCUUUGUGGUCCAACGAUGCCUGUAAGCCAUUAGACUCACUCCCAGGUCAGCGAGCAUAGUCCCUGCGAGCGAAUUACAACAGGGCCUGUAGUUGUCUGCACCCCUGUGCCCCGCCCCCACCACUCCCCUGUCUGGAAACACACAGCCAUGUGUGGAGGACGGCGGGAGGGUCGCGCAGGGGGCGUAUUUCUGACCAAUGUGCCAUCUUCAUAAUUAGCUCGGCAGCAACAUAUGAAACAUUAAACACGCCGGGCGCCGACAACAAUCAAAACAUUUCAUUUGUUGUCAAUUAUUCAUUACUUUGAAGGUUCUGAAGGGGUCGUUAAUAUGGAAAUAAGCUUGCGAUGCUGACAAGGUUGUAGUAUCGGAUUCCAAAUCAUCUGAGCACCCCUUGCUUUUUUCUUGUAGGCUAAUAUUUUGUCUUUUCUAUUGUGAUUUUGUGUCUUAUUCAUGAGGCCUCUUCUUCAAACGGAGCCAUUUUUCGGACUGAAAAACAAGCUGCUUUGAUCCACUUUGUUCAGGGGAGGAAAGCUGUGUUUGAAUUUGGAAGUCUUUGGUAGUGUCAAAAAUGUGGGAAAACGGGCCAAAAAGUUGCGCCCGCUGUGAAAUGUAAACCCUGUUCAACCGAGGUUGCGGAGCAGGACGUCAUCACCGGGACGGCGGAGACCCCUGAAGAUGACCCAGCGCGGGCGCAGCGAGGCCCGAGCCACGGCAAGGUCAGAGGUCAGUGUUGUGGAACAUUUCAUUUUUAACACAGCUCUCAGCUCUCAACACUCAGCUUGUGUCCAGAUCAGCCAUUCAAAUACCGUGUGGAGUCGAGUUUGGGCUCAGAUGUGUCAAUUGUAUGUUGAAGUAAAAUCUCAGAAGACAGUUACUGUGUCAAGAGUGUUAUUUCCCUUGUCAUCAGGAAGAAUGUCUUUUCCCACCACAGUGCACCGUAAACAGCGGUCCUCGCAGAAGGCACGACUCCGGGUUCUUCGGGGUCACGUCAGAGCACGUGCAGUCCGUUCCAAGUUCUCGUCCUCCUUUCACAGGAUGUGCUUUCCUGACACGCCGAGGGAGAAAGGGCAAGGCGUCGACGCGGCGGCCGUGCGAUUUGGAAGUCACGGCGAAGACGCCCCAAGCCACCCGGAGCAUUCUCGGCGACGGUAACGCGCUCCAACAACCGCGUGGCCGAGUGUCGAAAUGUGCGCACGACCUCUCGUCCCGGCUCGUCCCACCAGCGCAGGCGGCCUCUAUACCUCCGCUGCCUACCUGAAACCAAAGCAGUCAUCAUGGAAAAGCGACAUACAUGCAUACACGAUCCAUUGGGAAAAGUAUCAGUAGUGUCGUGCCCCGUACAGCUGGCAAGAAGAAGAGAAAACGUGUCACAGGGAGAGAUGAUAUGAAGUCCAUUCUGUCGGGCAGGUGCACGCGUAUGGCUUUUGUGCUGUGUGUGUCUGUUUUGAGGUGUAUAUUUGCUCACGGGAAAUAAAGUGUUCCCUGAUGUGCUGAUAUGUCCUAAGGGUGGAGCAUACACAUUGUCCAAUGAAGACUGUUGAAUGGAACUUGAGGAGUUUUACUGUGCUGCUAUAGGCCUAGGCUGCUGGGGGACAUCCCAUGAGUUACUGCGCACUUCUUCUUCUUUCUCUUUCUCUUUCUCUCCUCAGACCCACUCUCAAAUGUAUUAGCCUUUCCCCAGGCUGUGGCUCUGAUGAACAUGUGACUGUUUUUUUCCCACGACCUCCUUCAGCAUCUGUGCACAUUUGCCACUACCUCAUUUCACCGUCUCUUUUUUUUGCACUAUAACCUGGACUAUGUCACUCAAUAGCCUGGAUAUAUAUAUUUUAGUAGUCUGAAUAUAUAUUUAUAUGUAUGUAAAUAGUUAUAUAGUUAUAUUCUGGACAAAUUGCACUACCCACAUUCAGACUGU